AUUGAACGCUGGCGGCAGGCCUAACACAUGCAAGUCGAGCGGAGCGGCGGACGGGUGAGUAAUGCCUAGGAAUCUGCCUGGGAGUGGGGGCUAACGACCGGCCACGGGCAGUAAUAACGCAUACUCGCCGAUGAGCAUCGGUCGGGUUAGCUAGUUGGUGGGGUAAGGGCCUACCAAGGCGACGGUCCGUAACUGGUCUGAGAGGAUGAUCAGUCACACUGGAACUGAGACACGGUCCAGACUCCUACGGGAGGCAGCAGUGGGGAAUAUUGGACAAUGGGCGAAAGCCUGAUCCAGCCAUGCCGCGUGUGUGAAGAAGGUCUUCGGAUUGUAAAGCACUUUAAGUUGGGAGGCGUUACCAACAGAAUAAGCACCGGCUAACUUCGUGCCAGCAGCCGCGGUAAUAC
rnacentral:rRNA from 1 species